rnacentral:rRNA from 1 species
UACGUAGGUGACCAGCGUUGUCCGGAUUUACGUGGGCGUAAAGAGCGCGCAGGCGGUCGUUUCAAGUCGAGUCGUGAAAGCCCCCGGCUCAAUGGGGAGGGUCAUUCGAUACUGAUCGACUCGAAGGCAGGAGAGGGGAAGUGGAAUUCCCGGUGUAGUGGUGAAAUGCGUAGAUAUCGGGAGGAACACCGGUGGCGAAGGCGGGGUCUCUGGGGCCCGAUACUGGAC